rnacentral:rRNA from 1 species
UACGUAGGUGGCAAGCGUUAUCCGGAUUUAUUGGGCGUAAAGGGAACGCAGGCGGUCUUUUAAGUCUGAUGUGAAAGCCUUCGGCUUAACCGGAGUAGUGCAUUGGAAACUGGGAGACUUGAGUGCAGAAGAGGAGAGUGGAACCCCAUGUGUAGCGGUGAAAUGCGUAGAUAUAUGGAAGAACACCAGUGGCGAAAGCGGCUCACUGGUCUGUAACUGACGCUGAGGUUCGAAAGCGUGGGUAGCAAACAGG